UGACUUAUGAAACAGGACACAUGUCGUA
rnacentral:sRNA from 1 species